GACGAACGCUGGCGGCGUGCUUAACACAUGCAAGUCGAACGGAAAGGCCCUGCUUUUGUGGGGUGCUCGAGUGGCGAACGCGUGAGUAACACGUGAGUAACCUGCCCUUGACUUUGGGAUAACUUCAGGAAACUGGGGCUAAUAUCGCAUAGGAGCUCCUGCUGCAUGGUGGGGGUUAGAAAGUUUCGGCGGUUGGGGAUGGACUCGCGGCUUAUCAGCUUGCUGGUGGGGUAGUGACUUGCCAAGGUAUUGACGGGUAGCCGGCCUGAGAGGGUGACCGGCCACAUUGGGACUGAGAUACGGACCAGACUGCAACGGGAGGCAGCAGUGGGAAGUAUUACACAAUGAGCGGGAGCCAGAUGCAGCAACGCCGCGUGCGGGAUGACGGCCUUCGGGUUGUAAACCGCUUUCGCCUGAAACGAAGCGUGAGUGACGGUAAUGGGUAAAGAAGCACCGGCUAACUACGUG
rnacentral:rRNA from 1 species